UCGGUGUAAAAUAGAGGCAGGGUGGGGUGGGGGGCCUGAACAGAGGAUCGGCAGGGGUGUAGGGUAUCUCGAGCCCAGUGUGAACAGCUGAGAGGUGUGAUUUCACAGGCUGGCUCCCCCCUGUCAGAGCGCUGAUUGGGCCGGACAGGAGGCGCAGGAGAGGCCCGGGCUUCUAAAGGACACCAACAGGUGGGAGGCCGCAUUGGAGGGGGCCGCUCCUGGAGCCAUAGAAAAGGCCGAUCUGCAAGGCCUGCUGUGGGCACAAUCCACUGACCAGAUACAGAGGAGGAUGGGUGAUCACAGGAGAGCUGAGGGUGAAGCCGGGGAGUGGUUCUCAGAAAGCAGAGGGUUAGUUUCAUGAGCUUGGCUUUAAAGGGUGGAUAAAAGGCAGAGGACAACUUCAGGGAUGAGGAGUAAGGUUGGUCAGAGUUUUGUCUGUUUUUGAAUCACUCUUGUGAUUUCUCCUUCUAAAACUUUAGUUCACAGCGCAGGAAGAGACACAUGUCAGGCAACAAAAUCUUCGGGUUGCUGUGCUUGUGUGGUUUCAGCUUAACUGCAGCACAAUACGAGUAAAAAUCUGGUAUCAAACCAGCUUUCUCUCACUUUUACUGAAGACACAGCACAACAUGGCAGCCACUUGUGUCAGGUGAGGGGAAGCUGAGGUGUGAUGCAGGAAAGAAUCAGGAAAUCUGGUGCCUCUCAGAGGAGUCAUCCUAGUCUAAUUACAGUAGACGAGACAGACUUUCUGGUGGCCAUUUGGUUCAGAAGUGUUUAGAUUUAUCGAGGAAGUCACCACUUGUGAAGGAGAGGCGGACCGUGGCCUUCAUCUUAACCCCAUUUACUCACCGUGAGAAAACCACAAGAGGAGGCGCAAGGAGACCAGAGGAAGGAUCACUUGACACAACUGUCGGCAUCACGUUGACUUGGCAUGGCACGAUGUUUGGGAAAUAAAAAAAGGACGAUGACCUUUGUUUGAUGGGAGUCGGUAUUUGCCUCACCCGCCUGAGUUAUUUAAACUCAUUUCAGCAUCAUCACACUGGCAUUACCCAUCAAGUAUCUCCCAGUAUGACCAGUCCAGUCAUCUGUAAGACUGAAGAGGACUCAGCAGCCCUGACUGCCUGCAGAUGAUGUCCAUCUCCUACUGUAUUUCAUCUUUCUCGUGUCCCUCUUUUUCCGUGACCUUUACCCCUGUAACCUUUCCUCUUGACUGCCCCUCCCCUCCUGCUCUCCCUCUUGCUCUGCCUCUUGCAGCUGAAGCAACACGCCUUGCUGUGGCUGGUCAAACGGAACCAAGUCAGGUGUUUCUGUGAGGUUUGGUCCCCUUCAACCAGCUACUGCGCCGUGAAUUCAGUCAGCACACACCGGCUGGGAGUCAAACACGCAGUGACGUUGUGGUGUAGCGCUGCUUAAUCUGGAGAUGGUGAAUAGAAUAGAUUAUACAGCACAGAUGCAACGUGAAUCUUCUUUAGGAGCUCUAUAUUGAUUGUUCAUGGUAAUAUGUGACUAGAAACCAAAUAAAAGAUCACUGAUGAUGUACA